GGGGAGGUGGGGCAAGGGGAGGGUAAAGGCACUGUCAUCUCCAAGUCCUGCCAUGCCACCUCUAGCGGUGAGUAAAACCUGAAGUUUGAGGAAGGGUAGGUGGAUCCUAUGGUGAGUAGGGACUAAUUAGGACACCCCAAUCCUGGGCCACCUCAUAGCCUCAGGCACGGAUGAGAGAUGUAUAAAGGUAGACAGGCUCAGAGCAUCCCAAACCCCUCCGCACCUAUCUGCGCCAGUCACUGGUGAACCUCGUUGCAAGUCCAGCCCAGAAUGUCUCAGCAGAAGCAGAAGCAGUGUGCUCCCCCGCAGCAGUGCUGCCCCCCACCCCAGCAGUGCUGCCCCCCUCCUCAGCAGUGCUGCCCCCCACCCCAGCAGUGCUGCCCCCCUCCUCAGCAGCACUGUCCCCCACCCCAGCAGUGCUGCCCCCCACCCCAGCAGACCAAGCAGCCUUGCCAGCCUCCACCCAAGUGCCAGGAGCCCUGCGCCCCCAAGUGCCCACCCCCUCAGCAGUGCCAGAAGUCCAAGCAGAAGUAAGCACUGGGAAUGUAAUCAGAGGCAAGCACCCAGGAAAAACAGAUCAUGAAGUUCCUUCCGGGCCAGCAUCUUACCCCCCACCCCUCAUCAGCCAAGCAAAGCCCCUGCUCACCAGUGCUGGAUGCAGCCUCACUUCACGCUUAGGGGAGAGGCAGGACCAGGCUGGCGGCUUCCUCGAGCUCUACUCUUCUUAAUUAGCAGCUGCAGUUUCCACAUCAGACAAGGAUCUGGUUCUAAACUAUGUAAUCGUUUUUGCUGAUAUGUAUCUACAUUGCCUGCUGGAAAUGUGGGCGGCAUGCCCAGACAUUCUCUCCUAUCGCGCUUCCCCUCAGCUCCUGUUUUCAAACAAUUAAAAUAGAAUUCCCCUGGCAUAAAUGUCUUAGUCUGAUGAUUUCGUCAUUUGAAAAUGUAGCAUUUCUGCAGAUUGUUUAUCCUGCUUCCAACCUAAAGCCCAAGAAGAGCCAGGUGUGGGAUGCAGGUGGAGAAGAAGGCACGGGGCGGAGCCUUCUGAGAUGCCCAGACAUUUACG
rnacentral:lncRNA from 13 species